rnacentral:misc_RNA from 1 species
AAAGUCGUAACAAGGUUUCCGUAGGUGAACCUGCGGAAGGAUCAUUAAUGAAACUUCAAAGUCGGCGCGUCUAUCUGUGCUGGUGGAGACACAUGUGCACGUUGGCGAGUCGCAAAAUCCACACACCUGUGCAUCUAUGACUCUGAGUACCGUUUUGCAUGGCCUUUAGGGGCCUGGUACUCGAGUACUUUACACACUCUGAAUGUAACGGAAUGUCUUUUUGUACAAUGUACAACUAAAAACAACUUUCAACAACGGAUCUCUUGGCUCUC